GUUUUCCCAUUUUAAGAAAAUCUUGGAAAAUUAUAAUGACAAAAACCUUCAAAGAAAUUAGACUGGCAUUUUUUUUUGUUGUCUGCAUGGACUCAUUUUCAUAUACAAUGCUUGGAAUAUUUUGCAUUUUGAGAUUGGAUAAGCCUGUUCUAUUAAUCUUUUUUAAAAUUGUGAAGAGUAUUGUCUUGAUGCAUUUAAGCUUGC
rnacentral:misc_RNA from 1 species